rnacentral:rRNA from 1 species
UACGGAGGGUGCAAGCGUUAUCCGGAUUUACUGGGUUUAAAGGGUGCGUAGGUGGGUAGGUAAGUCAGUGGUGAAAUCUUCAAGCUUAACUUGGAAACUGCCAUUGAUACUAUUUAUCUUGAAUACUUUGGAGGUAAGCGGAAUAUGUCAUGUAGCGGUGAAAUGCUUAGAUAUGACAUAGAACACCAAUUGCGAAGGCAGCUUACUACACAGUAAUUGACACUGAGGCACGAAAAGCGUGGGGGAUCAAACAGG